CAAAUGAUGCCCCGCAGCUUGUGCCGGAGUUGGGGGGGGGGGGGGGGGGAUUGCAGCUGGUGGCACGUGGAAAUAUGCCCAGAGCCCGGCAAAUCACACUGGGACUGAGGCUCCAGCGCUGAUCUGUCUCUAACCUCCCCUUUUCAGGAUCGAAAGCGGGGGUGCUGUCAAGUGGGAGUGUUGACUAAGAGUAACAAAUGGAUGGAAGACACGCAGCAGGGUUUUUUGGCAGACUUUAAGAGCAAAUGGACGACACAAAUUUUGGAUUUUACAAUGUCAGUUUUAUGAGACUUAGGUCAAGAGAUAUUCCUCAUCAAUUCUGAGACAAAAAGCCCACGGGCAGAACUCUGCUCUCUGUUACACUGAAAUACAUUCAGAAUAACUCCACUGACAAUGGAUUAACACAGCAGAAUUUGAGCCAAGAUCUUUUGUUCCAGAGCAAUCUCUAUUGUUAUCAUUAACAUGCUGAAUCGUAUCAUGAAUCGUAGAAAGGGGUAAAAAUUCACCCUGGUACAAGGUAUCCAUGCAAUACAUACUGCAUCAGCUAAGGGCUUGUCUACCUUAGGAAUUUGUGUAUUGAUGUGGCAGCACUGGUGCAAGCUCCCAUGAUAAUGUGCUGCAGUGCUGUAAAGUGGAACAUGCGCUGAUUUGACUUUGACUUACCCCAGUUCCAUCUUACCGAAGGAAGCCCCAUUUGAUACCAAUGCAGUACAUCAACACUCUGCCCUGGCGGAUCGUGACCUGGAUGUGGCUUGAGUGUUCCCAUAAUCCUGAGAGCAAUGCAGUCAGGAGUCUUGCAUUCCUGGUAGGGUCACCCAAUGCGUCAAGGUGAAAGGUGAGGUUCCAGAUGACCAGCGAUCCGACCCUCCACCCCCACAUCCUCAAUGGCAGCGCAAGAGGAUGGAAAGAAUUUCUCUCAGUGGUUGUGAAAGCUGCAGCAGGAUGGCAGUCUCCCAUCAUCUUGGGUUUCCUUGCCAUUGGAUUAAGAUCUUCAUCCUGUCAAGGACCUGGUAUGCAAUGGUGUCUCCACAUUAAAAGAAAUCAUGCACAGGUGUCUUCCAUAUUCAUGACCAAGUCCUAUGGUGAUCAGCGAGUGGCAACAGGAGGAGGCAGCAAUGACCAGAAGCUUCUAAUCAUGGACUGGCAUGCAAGCAGCGGCUGUUAGAAGGCUGUUUUUGCAUUUGGACAGGAGUGCAACUCAGCAGCUGCAACCGCAACUGAGCUGCUCUUUUUAGGACCCACUGCACAUCCCACAUGGGGAGGGAGCAACAAAAGGUGCCCUAAACGUAGUCUGCCUCGCCUACCCCAACUGGAUAACCAUGUUCAGAGGGAUUAUCUAACUGCGCUCAAAACUGAAUGAAAUUUAGAACUUGGAACAUUCAAACCCUGAUGGACAACCCAAAUAGUAACCAGCCAGAACACAGAACAGUGAUUGUGGCAAGAGAACUCAGGAUAUAGGACAUCAAAAUUGCUACACUGAGCAAGACCCAACAUGUAGGAAAGGGACAGCUAAAGGAACAAGGUGGUGGUGGUGACACCUUUUUCCAGACAGGAGCGGGCGAUGAUAAAUGACAAAUCUACAGUACUGAUUUCACCAUCAAAAGCAAAAUAAUAAACUAACUCUCGGAACUACCAGUUAGCAACAAUGAAUGACUCAUGACUCUCUGCCUUACACUUGCCAAGAACCAGCAUGCAACACUCAUCAGAGCAUCACUCCAACUCUUAAUGCUGAUGAUGAAACCAAAAGUGGUAUUCUAUGCCAACCUUGACCAAAUUCUCUCCUCCAUCUCCAAAGAGGACAAGUUUAUACUCCUUGCUGAUUUUAACGCAAGAGUUGGACAUGACUUGGAACUUUGGAAUUGCAUGAUCAGAAAGGAAAAAAAGUGUGGGCAAGAUCAAUUCCAAUGGAAUUUUUCUAACCAAAUGCGCAGAACACAAACACUAUAUUCCAAAGAACCAAAAGAACAAGUACAAGACAUCACGGGAGAAAACCCUAUCCAAGCAUUGGCAGCUGAUCGACUAGGUUAUUGUCUGUGCUCAUGACUGUGAAGAUGUCGUAUCAAAGCGAUGACUUGUGCUGACGAUUGUUGGACAGACCAUCGCCUCAUCCGCUCCAUUACUUCCAUCAAACUUGCUUCAAAACAAUGAUUGCAGAAGAAACCAGCCAGAUGAAAGAUCAACAUCGAGAGUCAAGGACCCAACCAAACCUGGCCUUUUCUGGCUGUGCCUCACCGAGAAACUCUGUACAUGGCCUUUACCAAUCUCAUAAAAGCAUUUGACUCCAUCAACCAUGAGGCGCUGUGGCAAACUCUCUCAAAUUUGGAUGCCUGCCAAAAUUUGUUACCAUCCUCUGACUCUUCCACGACAACAUAUUCGUGAUGGUCGUCAGCAAUGGAUCCAAAAUGGACCCAUUCCAAGUUAAGACAGAAGUAGAGCAAGGCUGUGUCAUUGCUCCAACCCUCUUCAUCUUCUUUGGUGUAAUCCUCCUCCUCAUCGCUGACAAGCUUCCCUCCAGACUUGACAUCCAAUACAGAUGGCAAGCUCUUUAACCUCAAUCAUCUCCAGUCCAAGACAGACUAUUACCAAAUCAGUCACUGAACUCCAAUAUGUAGACAACUGUGCUUUGUACUCCCACUCGGAAGAAGAUCUUCAAAAAACACCUGAGGCCUACAAUCAACUAGGCUUCACACUCAACACCAAGAAAACUAAAGUUCUCUGUCAACAGGCUCCAAAUCCCCAAGAUCCUGCUCCCGCAAUCAAGCCCAACAAAGAGACCCUGGAGAAUGUUGAGCACUUCUCCUGCCUCAGCAGCUGUUGCCGAAAGUUGACACUGACAAGGAGAUUCAACACCGAUUCCAAUGCACCAGUGCAGCUUUCGGACACUGGAGAAAACAUGUCUGAAGAUCAUGACAUCAAGAACCAAACCAAGCUUCUCAUGUAUCUGGCUGUUGUUAUCCCUGCUCUCCUGUACAAUGCCAAAAUCUGGGUUGCAUGCAGAAGGCGUCUCAAGGCUCUUGAACAAUACCAUCAACUGUGCCUCCACAAGAUCUUCCGAAUCAAGUCAGAUGACCGAUGCACCAACAUCAGCAUUCUGUGCCAAGCCAAAACUUCCAGCUUGGAAGCUAUGAUCACCUACCACCAACUCUGUUGGGCUGGUCAUGUUCUCGAAUGCCAGACAAAUUGAUUCCCAAAGCAAGUCAUUUUCUCACAGUUGAGCCAUGGCCAGCAGAUGAGGGGAGGGCAAAAAAGCACUUCAAUGACACCCUCAAAGCCAACAUGAAGAAGUGCAACAUCGAUAUAAAUUUAUGGGAAAUCCAAGCCUCUGACUGAUUAAAAUGGAGAAGGACCUUGUGGCAAGGAUUCCACCAUUUCAAGACCCCAGGGAGACAACAAGCAACAGAGAAACAGGAAAGGAAUGAAUGUGCCGCAGCCCAACUCAACAGUCCAUAUCCACCCCUUCCACCAGGAAAUGUCUGCCCCAACUGUGAUAAGAUCUGUGGAUGACAGAUGGGUCUCAUUAACCACCUGCAGAUCCACUAGCAAUAACUGGCUAUCAUUUCUUAGAAGACAAUCAUUCUCAAACUCUGAGGGAUCGCUUGCUAACUACAUCUACACUGUGGGGGUUGCACCAGUGUGGCUACAUCUGUGCAGAGAUCCCUAAGGUAGACAAGCCUUCCAAUUCAUGGUUGAUCGUACCAGAAGGGUGAAGAGCAAAAAUGCUUCAAACACUCCCAUCAGCAGAAUCUUACUUCAUGAUGCAUAAAUAUUAAUAACUUUGAAGACACAGCCACAGACAGAUCUGAAUGGAGAGCAAUCAUCAAUAAAGGUUGCCAACACUUUGAGGAAAACAGACACAAAAAACUGAUUCAAAAAAGGGUCAAGUUUCAUGCCAAGUCUUCAGUGAGAACCUGCACAUUCCUGUGUUAUAUCUGUUUGCAGUCUUGCUCCUUAUGGACCAGACUGUACAGCCACAUGAGAAUACACGUGAUGUCAUGACGUCAUUGACUGAUAUGACAGACAGUGAUACUAGUAAUUACACCUCAAUUUGUGAUGUAGACAUAUAUUUAGUUACCAUUAAAGUUCCAGUUACAAAUUAGACCAAACUAAAGUCCUACCUACAUUUAAGAAAUUUGCACUGGCAUAAGUUAGUCUGCUGCAACCCCCUAAUGUGGGCGUAGUGCAUCAAUGUAGUCUGGUGUUUAUACUAGUGAAAGUUAAUUCAGUAAAUUGCAAAUCACAUCAAUGUAAUUAUACUGGUAAAAAUCUCUCACAUAGAAAGGAGCUAAGGGAAUAGACUUAUUGGCUCUUAGCCAUAUGUCAUUAAACAGUAAAACAUUGGUCAAGCUCUUAAAGCCAUGAUAUAGCUAGAAUUGUGUGUAAUGCACUUAGUACAUUAAUAGCACUACAAAAAAAAAAAGACCCUUUUACGUAUUCACAUGCGUAGGAAAAGACAUAAGUGUACUGAUGUUAUAGCAUAUACAAUAAUAAAAUUUGAGAAGACACUUCCAUUCUAAACAUCUUUCAGUUGCUCCUAAUGGUCUAAAAAGUAUUUCCUUUUCAGUUUAAACUCCAUAUUUGGGCUCAGGCCAAAAGUUACCAUGUUUGUAUACUUCCAAUAGGCAAAUGUAAUUUUUGUGGUCAAUUAUAAAUAAUACAAGAGAGGAAUUUGGAAAAAACCUGGUUUCUUCAAACUUACUUGUCACCAAAGCAAUGAGCCUCAACUUAACCUACGAGAAAAAGUUGUGGGACUUUAUUUUUUUAAAAUAAAAAAAAAUGUUUAUUUACAAAUGCAUUGCCUCUUGGCCUGCCAGCUAAAUUCUGCAUCCUCGGUGUAGUGGAUAGAAACUUUCAUUUACUUAAAAUAUCAUCUGCAGCUUUGACAAUUAUAAGAGAUACUAAUAGAAGACUAGUAGAAUAGAUACUAGUAGAAGACCACUGUUUUCCUACUGAUCGGAGAACAAUUAUCUGAAAUGGCAAAGGCUGCCUUAGAGAAAUAGUAGAAAAACAUUUGACAUUAGCCAAGCCUACUGAAGGUGUUACACAGAAUUCUCCCUUUUAUUUUAGCCCUGAAAACUUGCUCAGAUUUAUGUGGCCACUGAACCUCACAGUUUGUUUUCACCAAUUCAGUUCUAACACAUUUUGGCCCAGAUCCACAGUUGGGCUAAGUUGCCAUAGUGACAGUGAUUUUAAUUAAGCUCUGCUGAUUUACAGCAGCUGCAUCUGGCCCUUCACAUUUAAAUUUUGAUUGUGUGUUUUGGUCUCUGUUAAAAUCUCCACUAAACACCAAGAUAGGCUGAAGCUGGUUCAAGUUUAAAUUGUUUUUAAUUACAAUAUUGGUAAAUAUUUGGCCAAUAUUUCAUUUAAUUUUAUUGCACCUAUGAGUAUAUGUUUACAGAAUACACCAAUUAGUGAAAAGAUAAUUAGAAGGAUUUCCCUCAAAGGACUUCCUCAGUCCUACAUAAUUAGCUCAUAAUCUUAACAGGAUAUAAACAUACAUAAAACAUAAGGUUAUAAUUCAAAGUAGACGACAAAAGUAGCCCUAAAACGUCCCUGUUUUUCAGUAAAAGUGAAAAGACCCAACAUUCUGGUUAUACUGGACCUCUUGAUCUUUUGGUAAAGAUUUAUCAUGGGUUGUUAUGUUUGCAAAUAUGAUGUUCCUUAGGUGUCUGGACCUGCCCUUGAAUGGUUCUGGACAGACCCAGAUCAGUCAGUGGACAAUUUGAUUAGAAAGUUUCUGAAUUCCCAUUUGAUUUGAUAGGCAGCAUUCCCCAAAGGAUCUGGCCUAUUGAAUGCAGUGUUGUUGUAGCUGUGUUGGGCUUACUGAAGUCAUUCAUCAUACGUAGUGACAUCAGUUGUAAAUAUGAGGUAGUUUCCCCAGUACUCUGAUAUACAAUUGUAUAUUCCCAGGGUCCAUGGACCCUGCAAGUUCGGUCUUGGCCAUGAAGGAUUGUGUAGAUGACAGGAACAUCUGGAUCCAUCAGAGCUUCCUUCACAGUCCUGUCAGAGCAAACUUUUGCUAAUAGAUAGAAAUUGCCAAUUUGUACGCCUGCUUAUUCAGAGAGUCUUAGGGCUCAUCGUCACGUGCAGCUGUGCCACUGUAGCACUUUAGUGAAGACGCUUCUAUGCCAACAUGAUAGCUUCUCCCGUCGGUGUAGUUAAUCCACUGCCCCAAGAGGUGGUAGUUAUGUUGCCGGGAGAAGCUCUCUCCUCGCCAUAGCACUGUUGACACGGAGAGGCGAGGUCAGUUAUAACUACAUGGCUCAGGGGUGAGGAUUUUUCACACCCUUGAGGGACACAGUUAUACCAAUAUAUGUCUGUAGUAUAGACCUGGCUUAAGUCACCUUAAAAAUCUUGGUGCUACUUUAACCAUGAGCUUUCAUAAAAAGACGUGACAUACACAAAGGGUUUGGUUUUGUUUGUUUUGAUUAUGUAGUCUCAGCCCUUUUUUAAAAUCACACAUUGACCUCUCCGCACACAAGCUAUGAUUAUUGCAAUUACCUCAGCAGAGCUUAUCUGCUAGUUGAAGCUUUUUCAGAAGGCAGCAACAUAGCUGAGCAACCCCAGCCCACUUCCCUCCAGCAGUCCUGGAGUAACCUUAGCAGUCCUGUAUACAUGGUAGUUCCUCUCCUUCAUAGAGCCACUCAGACUGAGCCCCAGCAGCAUUCCUUCUCAAAGCAGCUGUCCCUUCCUUAAGCAGCCAAGGUUGUCCCUCAUUUCCCAUCUCCAUCUAACCAUUAGGAGCCCUAGCCAUUUCAGUAGCACCCACUCAGAGUACGAGGAGUAGCUGCCACUCCAAAACAUAAUCUAGCCAAGACAUUCAACUGGAGCAGUUUCUCAGCCAGCCCCUAGCCCUCAGGACCAGUCCAGGCAACAAGUAGUGUCUCUCGUAUCUGGUGGCAGAGAAAAGACAAAAAUCAGGGCUGUGAGACUAGAAGAGGGGGACAAAGAAUAGGGAGUGUAGUGGAAGAAAAAUAAAGCCAGGAGUCUGAUAGGUCAAAUAUGAAUGAUAGUCUUGUCGCAUAGUCUCCUGACCUGUGAUCCAACCAGGGCUGGCCUUACUAGAACUGCAAUGGGAAUUUUCUUUUCCAUCUUCUGUUUUUCCUAUAUAGUUUCAUAGAAAAUGAGGGUUGGAAGGGACCUCAGGAGGUCAUCUAGUCCCAACCUCCUGCUCAAAGCAGGACCAAUCCCCAAUUUUUGCCCCAGAUCCCUAAAUGGCCCCCUCAAGGAUUGAACUCACAACCCUGGGUUUAGCAGGCCAACGCUCAAACCACUGAGCUAUCCCUCCCCAUCUUGGGCUUCAUGUGUUUACACGAGGCUGCAAUUACUAAAUCGAUAUAUCACUAUAUUUCUAAGAGAUUGCUUACACAGAAAUUGAGAAUGAAAGCGGUAUAAAUCCAUCUGCUGAUUUUCAUGUUAAUAUUCAGAAUACUUUUCUAGGUCAGAUCAGAGCCUUGGGAAGAAUACAAAAUAGAGAAGGAAGCUUGCAGAUGGACUGCAUUUUCUUUCCUAAAAGAAUUUACCUGUAAUUUUUUUGUUCUACACGGUAUGUUUUAAGUUUUUGCUUCUUUCCCACUUUAUCAGACAAAGGCAAAGUGUGCCUCUACUCCAAUAGCGAUACCUUCACAAAACCUUGCCGGGGGAAGAGGAGAGACUUUAUGGAGAGUUCCAUUGGUAAGUUUAAUGGACAUCCUACUUCAAACCCUGCAAUAGAAAAGUAACAGAAUUGGUAGAUUUUAAUAGGAUCUCCUUUUCUAAAAUAUCUUUGAAUUGGAAUUAAUCUUUCAUGUCUAGAUGUCAGAGCCACAUUCCGAUUAAGGCCUGGUCUACACUCAAAACUUAAGUCAAUGUAGCUACAGCACUUCAGGGUGUAAAAAAUCCAAACCAGAUUGCCACUGCUAUGCUGACCUCCACACCGUGUAGGUACAGUUAAGUCGACAGAAUAAUGCUCCCAUUGACUUAGCUACUGUUGCCUGGGGAUGUAGAAUUACUGUAACACCAAAAAACCCUUCUGUCACUGUAGUCUGUGUCUACACUAUGGCACUACAGUGGCAUAGCUAUGGUACUGUAACUUUGUUGCUAUAGCAUAGACAGCCUAUGACUUGAGUAAUCUGUGUACUUAAGGCAGCAGAAUCCUAUGGAGUUGAUCUAGAGCACCACACGAAGGGUUUUAUUUGCCAACAACAUUCGUGUGUGUCUUUUCCAUUUAUUAUUUUUUUUACAAGUCUGUUAACAGUAAGGAGAGGUAGGCUAUAUAGAAGAUUCUGGGCCCUUGGGAUUGAUAUGGCAUUCUGCAGCUGCCUACCUAGAGGAAUGGGAGACCUAGAACAAACCAGUGCAUUGGGUUCAGAAGUCAUGCAUAUAAAAAAAAAAAACAUGGGGGCAGGGAGUAGAACUCUCAGCCACAGAAAGGUUUCUACAUGUUUAUUUUUUGUGAGGUGGGUAGAACUAAAGCGUCUGGGGCCGGAGGAAGAACAGAUUUGUGAGUUAGAGGUAGAUGAGCCUGGGCUUCUUUUUCUACCUCAGGAAAGUUGAGACAUGUAACCACAUUCUCUAUGUCUGGACUGGUAAUUAUACCAGUAUCAGAAUUCCCCAGGAUGGAAAUAUGGCCUGUUAUGGCCCUUACUGCUACAAGAGGUACGUAGACUCUUAAAUUGAUAUAAAGCUACUUUCCCUUGCCCAUUCCCCCUAGUUGGACUCACAUUUUGGUAUUAGGUCCAGUAAACAGCCCUCUCUUUUUUCAGGGGAAAACUAUCCCACCCCACCCAAAGGUAUUAGGCUGUCCAAGUUCUGCUCCCAAUUGUCUCUUGCAUAGAGCAGGAAUGAAUGGAAGCAGAUCUAGAAAAGAAUUCUAGCUGCCUACCUCAAGAAUACUGAGCAGCUGCAUUUCCACUAAGAGCAAACUGUGCUGUACAAUUUUCAGCUCCUAAGUAGCUGAAUGCAUUUUGCUCACCCCCACUGUAGGCAAUCCCAGAAUCUGUAUAAAGUUUAAUACCUAGCUGCAUGAGAUUGUGAGCAGGAGCUAGAAAUUUCCCCCCGGACCCAGGACUAAGAUUAUAUUUAAAGCAUGGAUAUACUUCUGCUCAUCCACAGUAGUCACUUAGAAGGCAUCCCCACACUCUACAUCCAGAGGUGAGCCAGUAGAACUGCCAUGGCUUGUAAAUGAAUCUUUAAGAACCCAUGGGGAGACUGACUUGGAGAUGCAGUCUGACAAGGCACAGCUGUUGAACAAGCAGCAUAUGCCAAUCAGCGUCCCUGAGUCUCCAAGAAUGCUUGAACAAUUUCCAACGCAAUGCUGGACUUCAUUUCAUGUUGGCAGAAAGCAAACUGGUUUAGUCUUUUCAAAACCAUGAUGAUAACACCCAUUGGCUAAGAAAUGGAUGAGAGUCUUUAUUCAUUUCUGGGGAGUAAUAUCACCUUUAUUUUAGAGGACAUUAUAGUCUAUUAGCCAACGAUAGCCAAUCUCCAGGAAACAGAACAAGUGAUUUUAGGGGCAGAUGGGGAUGUUUGAGGAGUUUCUCAAGUUACCACAUGUAACAGAUCUUACCCAACAAUCUAAAGAAAUAAGGUUCCACUGCUGUUGAAAAAGCGGUAGGUGGCCUCACUGAAACUAAGAUUCUGUGUAGCAGAGACUGGAGCCCUUGCUUCUGACAGCUAGCCAUUUUGGUCUGUAAAACCCCUUUUUUGUUAGUCAUUUUACAAACAAAAACUUUGGCCAGACUCCCUUGUACUGGUCAGUUUACCCCUUCUUUCUUGGUGCAGUUGUGCUCCAAAAUCUGUUUUUCCAUAUUUGAAACAAGUUGGGUUUCUAGCUCUCACGGUUGUGAAAAUUAUGCUUGAUAAUUGUUUUCAAAGUUAACUGAACAUAAGGCUAGACAGCAUGAAAGAAUAAGAGGCCUGAAUGGCCCUUUUCUCUAAUAAGUAACUUAUGAAACCUUAAAAAAAAAAUCACAAUUUAAAUAGCCUUAUUUCACAGAUGAUCUAAGCACACCAUGUUAUGUUUAUCGCACAAUCCUCAAGUGCCUGGGUUGCCACAGCAGCAGUGUAUCUUCAUCUUGGACUUCCUCAUGGAGUUGUAAAAACCAAGUUAUGGUGAAGGUUCAAACAAGGCCUCUGGAAAGGAGCAAAGAGUGUCUUAUGUUCGCUCUUUCCUCUCCCCAAGUACCAGUAGAAGCUUUGAUAUCUAGGUACAAAACUGUGACCUAAAAGAGACAGUGGGAAAAGAUAAGCUUGAAGUUUUUCCCAAGACAGUUAUAGCAACAUUUGCAUUUAUACCUGAUUUUAAGUAUUUAUAGGUGUUAAGGAAAAUAAUUAGUAAUGGCACUGCCAUGACUCAAAACGAUUACAAUGCAUUUGUUUAUCACAUGGAGCCCUUUGAUGGUAGUUUAUAAAAUUCUUCCAGUGACCUUUUAUUGAGUUAUUUAGGGACACAAUAUGAGGUGUAAGAACCUCCAGCUUAACUAAUUUUAAUACUCAAAAGCCCAGCAGAUGGAGCAGUAUGUCAUUAAUAUAAACUCCCAGAAACUGAGUCAUAUUGGAGAAAGGAAUACAUCAUUGCAAAAAAAAAAAAAAAAGGCAAAUAAUGAGUAUAUACUGUAGGAGCUUUUCAAUCGGCCAUUUUCACUUUUUGGUAAGAAUGGUUACUUCACCUUAAAGGAUGAGUAGCUUCCAAAGUGACAUGGCCGAGUAGGAUUUUCAGGACUGUUGGCAGUUAGGUAAACAGUGGAGCCUAAGAAUCCCAACCUGGAGAUUUGUUUUGUACAGAGAAUCAUUUUGGCUGAAGCUGAUUUAUAUAAAAUUUUGCACUCACUGCCUUUAUCAGAAGACUUGAUCAGCAUUCACAACUCACUGAAGUCAUAGUUCAGAAGUUUUGAAAAUAGUGCCCAAAUUACUUGCCUAAAACACCACGAAGUCAGUGGGUACAAAUAGAACAAGUUCUCCUGAGUCCCAAAUCCACUCUAUCACCUAUAAAGACCGUCUUAAUGCAGGAGCAUAUACAAGCUUUCAGCCUGCUUGGGAUUUUGACAACCUCAAACACACUGUAAGCAUGCACCACCAAAAAACUUUUGUGGCAAUCAUAAUUAUAACAUAAAAAGAUAAACCUUCAAACCAGAAUAGCGUAUACUGAAAGUGAAAACAUUCAGCAGAGCGCUGAACCCUCCGCUGUCAAUACCAUCUUUUUAGACUUAACGAAAGGAAUCUUGUUUUUUUGGCAUACUCUUUGCUUGUGUAUUAGCAGUAAAGAAUUUGUACUUUAGGAGUUAUCUAACUGGCUGUAGAUUGUGACUCAUUCCAUUCUGGUGCUAAGUAAAUGUAUUACAUAUAUAUCACUUGAAACACUAGUCUUAGUUCAUUUUUCUUUAUGUAUAGUAAAGAUGCAAUCAAAGCGGCGGGGGGGUGGUCGGCUGGCUGAAGCUCCCUUAAGAAAGUUCUCAGAUAACCUUAUGAUCACAACAAAAGAUCUUCAUUUGUGCCCCAAUCUCCACCAUGGUCUCCCUUAGCUGUCUUUCACUGUAUUAGACAUACUUGCAGAUAAAGUUUCUUUUGAACCACUUACCACACCCAAUGGAUCUAUGGAAUCAAGUCUUUCAGCUAUCUGUGGUCUUAAGAAAUGGUGAUUUCUUCAGUACCAGGUUGGAUCCACUGUGAUUAAUAAUUUCCAAUGUUGGCAAUUGAGUAGGAAUAGCAGAGAACAUGAAGAGAUUUCUAGCUUUAGAUGUUCUAACAUUAAAAUGGGGAGAUAGUAUCUGAAUUAAGACUUUCCUCAUUACAUAAAGACUUCAACAUUUUUAAACAUGUUUCUAAUCACCAGAAAAGUUAGAGGAUCAUAUUUUAACCUACCACUCUAGGUUUUUCAACUUCCCUUGUUUCCUGGCAAGCUUUUAAAGAUUAAAAGCCUAAGUUAUUCACUUGUUUUUUUGCUUCUCAUAUUCAAAAUAACUGACAUCAAAAACCCUUUGAUCAUUAUACAGAUUUAUAGGAUUUGGGACAUCUGACUAGUAUUUGUUUAGAGCCUAAUCUAAAACCCACUGAAAGGUGAUUGCCCUUUAUAGAUUUAUGCCUAUCAUGCAAGUUAUUGUACCAGUUUAACACAAACUGCAUUGUCAAUUUCUUCCUUCAAGAUGUCAUAACACUGACAAAGCUCUGACCCAUACUGAUUUGAUAUUUUCUGUUAUGCCAUGAUGACAUAGUGGAUUAAUUGGUAGUUGUAUUAGAGAAAAGUAAUUUAGAAUAUUUAAGUCUUAAACUCCUAAUUUUUCCUAUUCAGUUUAAGCCUGUGAAUUGUAAAUUAGCUUCAGAACAUAGGAGCUACUUCCAUUAUUAUAUGCACCAUCCUUGACUUAAAUCUUAGAGCUGGCUGGGAAACUCAGUUUCACUUCUGCAAAAAGUUGAGAUUCUGGAAAAAAGCUUCAUCCAGAUAGACAAAAGCCUAACGCUCAAAAGUUUUAUGGAGAGAAGUGAAAUUCCGCAAUAUUUAGUCUUAGAAUCACCACAGAAAUGUUCCUGCUAUCAGAAUGUUUCAGUAUUUCCAGAACAAAAGAUAUGCUCCCUGGCUCUCAUGGAGAAGUUGCCAAGGAGCUAGGCAGGUAAACUGGCAGCAAACGAGGCAGGUUUCCAUCCUAAGUUUAGUUGAAAUUGACAUGUUCCCAUGGAAAUGCACUGUAAAGUCACACUAUGAACACAGUUCAGGCAGCACUGUCUGGCACAUCCCAUGAGUGGGAAUCACCGAACACCUGAACUUCUCAGUUUCAACUAACUGGCACUGACCAACAGAAAAUGUCAGAAAGCUUCUGAUUAGCUGUAUAUUUUAGUCAAUCUUGAUUCUGCACAAUGCUUCCUCACUCUAACAUACCGCAUCCAGCUUCAAUUUGUAGGUGCCUCUGCACAUGAAUAACUCAGGUAGAUGGAGGACCAAGGCAUUUUUUUUUCCUGUGGCAGUAAGAGUGACCUCACUAUCUCAACUGGAUGCUACUUUUCUCUUCCUAAUCAGUCACUUCAUAGCCUUCUGGCUUGAUUUUCUGCUCAAGUUAGAUGGCACUGCUCUUACAGCAAUCAAGAGUUUGCUGAACCUCAUACAAUUAAUAGAUUAUGCAUCCUUUUAAAUUUAACAAAUUAAUCUGACCUGCAUAACACAAGCUAGAAACUUCACCCAUGAAUUCCUGAAACAAGCCCAGAGCUUGUUUGAAGAGGAGUACAUUGUACCUGGGAGAGGAGAUAGUAAAUAUAUCAAAUGGACACUCAAGCAAUAAAGACAUCUGAGCAACAUCUGUUUCACAUCUCACAAACAUUAUGUGAGCACAUUGUCGUACCUAUCAAUCUUAAAUUGCAAUGCUCAAACACUGUAUCUUAAAAAAUUCACCUGAUCCCAAAAGAACUGAUAUUGAUACACCCUGUAGAAAUGGGAAAGAGCUACAAAAAUCCCGUUACUGAACUAGUAAUAGGUCCAUGCUUAGUCACCAAUGACACCUUUUCUUAAAUAUGCUUUCUGGAAUAUUAGGCAAACUAGAUAGAGGUGCAAUUGUGAUUUCAAAUACUAUUUUAAAACCAGAACAAACCAUGUACCAAACUACAUAUUCAAAUAUUUUAUAAAAGUUAAGGUUUAACAUUUAUUUUACAUCUAGCUUUCCAUAUCCAUGUGGAGACAAGGAAUUAGAAUGCACAUAAACUAUAAGCAGUGCAAAAAGUGGUGCCAGAGAGAAAUCACAGAUGCACAAACUGAUAGCAUAGGACUAGGAAAAAAAUGAGGCUAUGAACAGUAAGAAUGGAGACAAAAAAUAAGAAAAUCCAUGGAAGAAGAUGGCAGGAAAGAAAAGAGCAGGAUGAUUAAUAAUGCCCUUGUUGCUGCAGAGGAAAUAAACUAAUGGCACAAGACAGUGUUUCUUGUCAAAUAAAAAAAUCCAAUAGCAAUGACUCUUUUAUUCAUUCACGUUUAGUCACCUGAAAUAAAUGUCUGUUGUAUUAAAAUAUUCAUUAAUGUAAAUGGCAGCAUGGUAGAACAAGUCUUUCAAUGGAUAACAAACAUCCCACAUAGUAAAGUCACUUCAACACAGCCUCAUGACAACUCCCACAUCAAAACAGUACUUUAUUUUGCAUUUUUUGCCCCGUUAUUACUCCCACAAUAAGAUCUUUCAGCUAUCACGUGUACAAGGUGAAGAAAAGCUUCUGUUAGCAAACAGGGUGCAUCUGGAAAUGCCUCCACAAUACACCACUUCAGAUCUGCUGGGUCCCAAGUCCAUCCCUGAACUCUGGGCUCCCAGUACCAAGUAUAGCACACUAAGGCUACACUACUAGGUUAGCUUAUUAAUUCUGCAUACAUCAGGCUGAUCAAUGUGUCAGCCUGCAACAGACCAAGUAUUAUAACUGAAAAUGGCAAAAGAGAUUCACUCUAUUGAACUUUACAUCAUUAUCUGAUGUCAAACAAUGAGGCAAAUCCCAACAGUAUAUACAAAAACCAGCUUUGCUUUUACAAAAGAUUGUUUCCCAUAUUGAUUAAUCCAGGCAGCUAACUCAUUGGUUUAUGCAACUUUAUUGAAGAAAAUAAAUCAGUUACUAGCAGAGCUAUUAGUUGAUCACUCAUCCAUUGACAACUUGCUUCAUUUAUUCAGUGCUAUAUUAAACAGUGUUCUGGAAGAUAGAUUAACUAAUAGCUCCAAGCCUCCUAACAAAAUUUAAAUGAAUUACAAAAAUGUUCUGAGACCUUAUUUUGGAAUACAAGGGAUGUUUGACUUCCAAAUUUUCAUUCUCUGUAAAACAAGAACUGGUCAUUCUUUUAUUGACAUGCAUAAGAUACAUCACAUUUUCUGUUCUGAUGCUAUAGAUUCUGUACCAAUUCUUCAGCCAUGUCAGUUAUGAGCAUAAGCAUAUAAUAAAACCUCAAAUCUCUAACACUGGAAGGUUUAAAACAGGAUGGAUGUUGCUACUGCAAUGUUACUUCCUUUGAUGUAAGAAAACUGAACAUCCACCUCCCCUCCCCUCAGGUGAUAUCUUCAGUAUCUGUUAGAGCAGUGAGGAAUGGUUUUAGUCUCAUAACCAAGUUAGAAUGAAGACAUUGGCCACAUAAUACACAUGCU